rnacentral:lncRNA from 1 species
CCCGAGGUAGUGUUUGGUUUGUGGGGCUCACCGAGAUUAGGAACUUGAAGGUGAACACAAGCACAUGGUUUAGACAAGUUCGAACCGCUAGAUUGCGUAAUACCCUACGUCCUGUGUGUUGGUUGGGUUGAAUUUCUUUGGGGGAGGUUCCUGCCUCACCUUAUAUUGCCAGGGGCAGGGUUACAGGUCGGUUGAUUUACAAGAAUACUAGUCGGAUUCGACUAGGCGAGUCCUAUUCUAAUUGCUACGAGUACUUUUCCUAAUCCUCAACUAGUUUUGGUCUUGCCACGUAGACUACGCUGUCUUGCACUAUAGCCUCCAUGUCAGAUACGUCUCAGUGUUUAGCCCUGUAUUUAGGACUGUCCAAACCUUCUAGUGGGCCCAUAGAUGUAUGUACGACAAGCCCCCGAGUACUUUUUAGUCAAAUGCAGCAGUUUUGAUUACUUUUGUUGACUUCACCGACUAGUUUUGGUGUUCUUUGAGCACUUCAUCGGGUUGAGUCUUCAAACAUACGCGAACACUAUCAUGCAGCUAGAAUCUGCUC